UUUUUAUUUUUUUUAGCAACAGAGUCUCACUCUGUUUCCCAGGAUGGAGUGCAGUGGCAUGAUCAUACUUCAUUAUAGCCUCCAACUCCCUGGGUCAAGCAAUCCUUCCACCUCAGCCUUCUAAGUAGCUGGGACUACAGGCGUGCACUACCAGGCCUGGCUAAUUUUACAAUUUUCUUUUGUGGAGACAGGGUCUCCCUAUCUUGCUUAGGCUGUCUCAGUCCUGAUAAUUAAGUGAUAUGGGCACAGGGUGUCAAGUCUCAAUGCACAGCUGUGACAAGCCUGGGCCGAUCAGCCUGGAGGUGGAAAGAAGCGGGAGGGGCAGGGAGGCUUUCCCUGGUGUUCGCACCCACAAGGUGCUGUCUAGAGUCUGGGAGGAGGUGGGCAGGGGGGUGGUGUCAGCCAGAGGCUUCAAACACUGGGACACUGCUCCACAUCUGUACUGUGUGUAACUGUCCAUUUAUUCUUGACCAGGUAUUCACUUGCCCUUUACGUUCUCGGCAUUCUGCUAGGGCUGUGGGGAUUGAUCCAGGCUCUGCCAGUUCUAGAGGAUAGGAGGUCCAAGAUGAAAGCACCUGCAGGUUCAGUGUCUGGUGAGGUGUCUUCCUGAUUCCUAGAUGGCCAUCAUCUCCCUGUGUCCUCACAGGGUAGAAGGGGCUGGGGAAGCUCUCUGGGGUUCCUUUUACAAGGGCACAAAUCCCAUCCAUGAAGGCUCAGUCCUCAUGACUUAAUCACCUCCCAAAGGCCCCACCUCCUAAUACCAUCACACUGGGGCUUAGAUUUCAACAUACGAAUUUGGGGAGACACAGACAUUCAGCCUUUAGCAGGUAGGAAGGUUAGCACUUUGGUUCCCACACAUAUAAACGCCCCUAAGUCAGUGCUUCUCAGAACUUCACUGUGCAUAGGAAUCACUUGGGGAUCUUGUUAAAGCGCAGAUUCUGCUUUAGAAGUUCUGGGAUGGAGCUGCGGGUCUGCAUUUCUAACGAGCUCCCAGGCAGUGCUGCUGCCGUUGGUCAGUGGACCCACGUGGAAUAGCCAGGCUCCAGGAUGCUAUCACCUUCCAGCCUUUCCUCUGGAGGUUUUGGGGUUUCUACUUGAACCUACUGGGUCAGACGGCCUCAUAGGAAAGGGUACCAGAAUGAGAAAAACCUGAGAUCCUCACUGGUGGUAGGAUGUGCUGUAUUGAUUUGGCUCAGAAUACACUGAGACAAGAGCCCAGGUGAAAAGUGUUUCUUCUCCUCGCUGGGUAACAGAGCCAUGAGGCUCAUCCGCAGAAAAUCAACCACGACCUAAAGGCAACAUGGAAAGAGAGUGUCUCCUGUCCAUGCCCUUCUGUGACUGCCCAGUCAAGAACACCCUCUGUACCCAUGCUCACCUGAUCAUACUGGGAUCAUCUGCUGUGAUCAGCCCUCCCACUGCGUGCUGGUUCUUACCUUGUUUCCUUGGAGCUCCAGGGUACAAUCUCUGUUAGUCUGGAGCUGAGAGGGUGCUUACUAAUUACAUUUAUUGGGUGAACGUGGAUGAAACAAUCUGCUUGAAUCUUGUAAUCUAUGUUUCUAUUGGCACCAGCCCCAGGACAGGGUGUGUCAUUUGACAGGAGGUACUAAGCAGGACUCCAUAUUGAAAACACUCCAUGACAGCUACCACUAAAGGAAUUUUCAAAUUUCAUUUUUUCCCCAAACACUGCCUUUCUUAGCUGCUGAGUUUUCUGUGUCUCAUCUGCAUGGAGCCUCUUCCCCCGGAAAAGGGAUUAGGCAGGGCCUGGGCGACCCUCCAAGGAAGGCGGAGGCUAUUUGCAUCUCUAACCACAAGGAAAUUACUCCUGACAGCCCAAAGUAAAGCAGAAAUAUUAAGAACCAUGGAGUGACGUUCCUGUACCAGAAGAAAAAUGGAAGAUUAUAAAAAGUUUUAGAGGCCAGAGCACAGCAGUAAAUUGUAGAUUAUGAAUAUAUAUUUAAAGUCUGCAUGAAAGUCAGUGGCCUUUUUUCCUCAGAAUUUGCAAAAGUGUGUUUUCGAUGGGCUGUUUCAGAGUUUUUUGAUUAUGAUAGCUUAACAUAUGACGUUUCUAAUUUCCUUAUGUUAUUGUCCUUCAGAAACACUGGCUCUAUCUCCAUUUUAAAAUUCCACACAAAAAAAAAGACAGGUAAUUUGCACAUUUAGGAAUGUAUUACCCAGUUUUUAAAUGGUCCAGACAUUUGAGUUUUCCUGAUACCUGCUUCUGGCUAAUGUAUGCAAAAGAAGAAGAGCGAAGGGAGAUAAAAUUCAAAUCGAUAUACUUUGUACCCACUUAUGAAAAGCUCUGGUGAAAAAUAUGUGGACCUGAAAGAAUGCAGAGGUGACUCUCUAUUGCUACUCACCCUGAGGCCUUGGGGUUCUCGGUGAUGGAUUCAGGGCUUCUUCUCUGGCCACUGUUGGGUGAUAUUGGUGAUAUACACACAGGAGGUUAAUUUGUUGGAGCCAAAAACUACGCAUGAGUACAACAAUAAUAAAUAUUACUUUAAGUUAAAAAAUGAAUCCCGGCCAGGCACGGUGGCUCAUGCCUGUAAUCCCAGCACUUUGGGAGGCCGAGGUGGGUGGAUCACCUGAGGUCAGGAGUUUGAGACCAGCCUGAC
rnacentral:lncRNA from 1 species